rnacentral:rRNA from 1 species
GAUGAACGCUGGCGGCGUGCUUAACACAUGCAAGUCGAACGGAAAGGCCGAAGCUUGCUUCGGUACUCGAGUGGCGAACGGGUGAGUAACACGUGGGUGAUCUGCCCUGUACUUCGGGAUAAGCUUGGGAAACUGGGUCUAAUACCGGAUAUGACGAUCUCUUGGAUGGGGUUGUGGAAAGCUUUUGCGGUAUGGGAUGAGCUCGCGGCCUAUCAGCUUGUUGGUGGGGUAAUGGCCUACCAAGGCGUCGACGGGUAGCCGGCCUGAGAGGGUGUACGGCCACAUUGGGACUGAGAUACGGCCCAGACUCCUACGGGGGGCAGCAGUGGGGAAUAUUGCACAAUGGGCGCAAGCCUGAUGCAGCGACGCCGCGUGGGGGAUGACGGCCUUCGGGUUGUAAACUCCUUUCGCAAUCGACGAAGCCUUUUGGUGAAGGUAGGUUGAGAAGAAGCACCGGCUAACUACGUG